AUGAAGGAGAUUGUCAGAGCCUAUGGAGGCCGCUUUGCAGGAAAUCUCGCUCGAAUUGCUGAGAUGGAGGUGAAGUAUCGAUAUAACCAAGUUAUAGAAAUUGGCCUCCCACUGGGAGGGCUUGCAAAGUUGUUUGUUCAUGAUUGGGAGGGUGAUGUCACCAUGGUUAUGCUAGCAACAGUAGCUCAGUACUUGAAGAUUAUACAAAACCCGACAUAUCCAGAGCUCCAAAUGGCUGCCAACCAGGGUCGCAGGUGCACAUGGGAGAAGCUCUUUGCCAUCAGAGCAAACUGUGCAAUUGAACUUGCAUUGGAUGAACCCAUAGCAGCCCUCAACCACAAAUGA
rnacentral:rRNA from 1 species